rnacentral:rRNA from 1 species
UACGUAGGGCGCAAGCGUUGUCCGGAAUUAUUGGGCGUAAAGAGCUCGUAGGCGGUUUGUCACGUCGGAUGUGAAAGCCCGGGGCUUAACCCCGGGUCUGCAUUCGAUACGGGCAGACUAGAGUGUGGUAGGGGAGAUCGGAAUUCCUGGUGUAGCGGUGAAAUGCGCAGAUAUCAGGAGGAACACCGGUGGCGAAGGCGGAUCUCUGGGCCAUUACUGACGCUGAGGAGCGAAAGCGUGGGGAGCGAACAGG